UUGUCAGAAGAAGAGGGAAUACGUAAGGAGCGAGCGUUGUCCGGAUUUACUGGGCGUAAAGAGCUCGUAGGUGGUUUCUUAGGUCUCACGUGAAAUUCCCUGGCUCAACUGGGGAGGGUCGUGGGAAACCGAGAAGCUAGAGGGCAGGAGAGGAGAGUGGAAUUCCCGGUGUAGUGGUGAAAUGCGUAGAGAUCGGGAGGAACACCAGUGGUGAAGACGGCUCUCUGGACUGUCCCUGACACUGAGGAGCGAAAGCCAGGGGAGCAAACCGGAUUAGAUACCCGGGUAGUCCUGGCCGUAAACGAUGGGUACUAGGUGUGGGGGGUUCGACCCCCUCCGUGCCGCAGUUAACGCAUUAAGUACCCCGCCUGGGGAGUACGGCCGCAAGGUUGAAACUCAAAGAAAUUGGCGG
rnacentral:rRNA from 1 species